rnacentral:rRNA from 1 species
CAAAAACAUAGCCUGAUGUAUCUAUAUUAGGUAUUUUCUGCUCAAUGAGAUAUUAAAUAGCCGCAGUACCCUGACUGUGCAAAGGUAGCAUAAUCAGUUGACUUCUAAUUAAAGUCUGGAAUGAACGAAUAUAUGAGAGGUAAGCUUUACCAUUAACUUAAUUUGAAGUUACUUAAGAGGUGCAAAUUCCUCUAUUUAAAUAAAAGACGAGAAGACCCUAGAAAUUUGUAAUUAAUUUUUGUUGGGGCAACAUAGUAGCAUAGUUAACCUACUUUAUUUCUUGAAGUAAUACAGUUUGAUGAAAUUACUCUAGGGAUAACAGCAUAAUACGAUAGUGUUUGUGACCUCGAUGUUGGAUUAAGAAGUUGCAGUUUAGAAAAUAACCAUAACGCUCUGUUC